rnacentral:tRNA from 1 species
GGCUCCGUGUUGUAGUUGGUAUCGCAUUGGCCUAGAAUGCCGAAGACGCUGGUUCGAAUCCAGCCGGUGCCC